CAGCUGACCAAUAGAGGGCUUGGGUCCGGAAGUGAUGGACUGGAGGCUUGACUAAUGUGAAAGGGGCGUCUGAAAGAGAAGCCAGCUGCCAUGCCAUGAACUGCAAUGUGAAAAGGCCAAUGUAGCAAGGAUAUGUCCAGCCAACAGCCAGUGAGGAUCUGAGGCCCUCAGACCAGCAGCCCAUGAGCAACUGAAUUUUGCUAAUAACCAUGUAAGUGAACACAGAAGUGGAUCCUUCCCCAGGCGAGCCUUCAUAAGUCCACAGACCCAGUCAAGACUUUGACUGCAGCCUUGUGAGAGCCCCUAAGCCAGAGGACCCAGCUAAGCCACGUUCAACUUCCUGACCUGUCAGUUUGCUCUUACCACUUAAUAAGAGAUCUUGAAAAUCCCCCAUCCUCCAGUGUGGAUUUAAUGCAUUCUUGUUAGCAGCUGACUGGAAAAGGAUGAAGCAUUCUUCAUGUUGAUAAACAGGUUUUACUUCUAGAAACAUCAAUUGUAUGACACCAGGAUCAUAUGCUUUGCAUGUCCCAAUUUCCCGGGCGCUCCCCUUAGGAGAUUGUUGGCACCGUGUCACAAGAGAGGUUGGUGGAGGCAAGAGGUUCCUUAAAGGAGGACGGAGGACACAGCCAGAAACAAACAGCCCUUUAAUUGAACUAGAAAAGACCGGAAUUUCAAUUUCAGCCGUUUUGGUCACUUCUCCAACACUGCCACCAAGUGGCUAAAGAGGAACAAUGCAACUAGCAAACCCAAAGGGAAAGAUUGCAAGAGCUGGGCAGUCAUAAAAUAAAACCACCAUGGCUGGCUAAUUUUUUUUAUUUUUAAUAGAGACAGAAUCUCAUUAUGUUGCCCAGGCUGGUUUCGAGCUCCUGGACUGAAGCGAAC
rnacentral:lncRNA from 10 species